rnacentral:lncRNA from 1 species
CUUGAUAUCUGAUAUUAGUUGUGUUUGUAUACUGCUCUGUGGAAGACUAAAAUAAGUGUUCCUUCAUGGUCGCCCCUUUUUUCUCUCUACCUACCUGGGGUACAGACCAAAACCCUCAACUAAGCGCAGGUCGUGUUAUGUUAACUAGGUAAAAAAAACAAGGGAAAUUGAAAAUAUACUCAACAUGGUUAGCCAGUUGUUUAUUGUUUAUGCGCAUAAUUUGUUCAGAUACUUGAAGAUGUUUUGGGUAGUAGAUUUUCACGAAUUCAUUGAUAUAGAAUGUUAUACAAUGAUUAAUAAUGCAGGAUGUCUGAAGCCCCCUUUAGGCCAAGAGAAGUCCUCUUCGAUAGGCAAAAGUUAUUUCAGAGCAUUCACAAACAUACAUAUCUGAAAGGUCCAUACGAUAAGAUCACCUCGGUUGCAAUUCCUCUGGCUUUGGCUGGUAGUUCAUUAUUUCUAAUUGUGAGCUCCUUUUUACUCUUUUAAUCGUUUUUGCCUUUUUCAUCCACGAUUGAGUUUGACACUGAUUGUACCUGAUGAAUGUUCUCCAGGGGAGAGGGAUCUAUAACAUGUCUCAUGGGAUUGGAAAGAAGGAAUGAGAAGAUGGAUUCCAUUGAACGAGUGUACAAGUGGGAACUCAACUAUUCAGCACGUUUUUUAAGGAUUUGUUUUUGUUCUUUACAUAUCCUCCUUUUCUUUGCUAAUAAUGAUGAAUUGCAAACUAUAUGUCUGUUCUGUCAUCGAUGACACGAGUCGAUACUUUUUUGUUUCCUGGAAGUACAGCUGAAAUAUGAUUUUUCCUUCUUCUUAGAGGUGGAGAACAAUGAAUUUGUGGAUGGAUUAGAUUUCGUCAAGCAAAAAGAUUUCCUCUUGUACCAGAUUAUGAUUAAGCUUCAAU